rnacentral:lncRNA from 1 species
AAGGCCACCCUCCGAAACUGAAGAAGUUCAUGGACAAGAAGCUUUCGUUGAAGUUAAACAACAAUGGCAGACAUAUCUAAGGAAUGCUUCGGGGCUUUGAUCCAGUUAUGAGUCUGUGAUUGAUGAGUGUGUGGAGAUGGCAGCCAGUGGGCAGCAGCACAACAUCGGGAUGGUGGUCAUCCGAGGAAACAGUAUCAUGUUAGAAUCCUUGGAAAGAGUCUGA